rnacentral:lncRNA from 1 species
CUCCGUAUGCUGUGCUGUCCUAGGUGGUUUGAGGAGACUGUAAAGUCAGCAGGUCAGCAAGGUAGCCCUAGUGUGCCAAAACCAGUAUGACAUCUACAUCAAAUGGGUACAGCAUAAGAAGGCUGAGGUACAAUUGUCUACAUGGAUAUUGUCUUAGUGUUUCUAUUCCGCAUAAAACAUCAGGACCAAGGAGCAAGUUGGGGAGGAAAGGGUUUAUUCAGCUUACACUUCCACACUGCUGUUCAUCACCAAAGGAAGUCAGGACUGGAACUCAAGCAGGUCAGGAAGCAGGAGCUGAUGCAGAGGCCAUGGAGGGAUGUUACUUACUGGCUUGCUUCCCCUGGCUUGUUCAGCUUGCUCUCUAAUAGAACCCAGGACCACCAGCCCAGGGACGCACCACCCACAAUGGGCAGGGCCCUCCCCGCUUGAUCACUAAUUGAGAAAAUGCCUUCAGCUGGGUCUCAUGGAGGCAUCUCCUCAAGGGAGGCUCCUUAUGAUAACUCCAGCUUGUGUCAAGUCGACACACAAAACCAGCAAGGACAGAUAAUAAC